UUUUUGAAGAGUCCGAGCAACAUAGCAUCAGACAAAGCUCCAGGUCUAGAUGGGUAUACCAUAGGGGUUUUCCUCACUUGCUGGGACAUUGUAAAGUAGGAUAUAAUGCAAACAUUGAAGAACUCUCAGUUUCAGCAAUACUUUGAGAGGAGCUUUAAUGCAACUGAUGUUUCUCUAAUUCUUAGAAAGGCUGCGGACAUGAAAUUUAGAGACUUCAAACCUAUAAGCUUGUCACAAACUUAAUGAAGAGGUGAUGCAGUGAUUUAGAGAUCUUUGGAUGAGCAAGAGGUUUUGGAAGGUGUUGAGGCAUAUGCAUCAGACAAAGCUCCAGGUUUAGAUGGGUAUACCAUAGGGGUUUUCCUCACUUGCUGGGACAUUGUAAAGUAGGAUAUAAUGCAAACAUUGAAGAACUCUCAGUUUCAGAAAUACUUUGAGAGGAGCUUUUAAUGCAACCGAUGUUUCUCUAUUUCUCAAGUGCUGAUUGAGAGGGUAGAAAGGUGAUACACAAAUUGGUUUACAAAACAAUAAAUGUCAUUUUGGGUCGAAAGGUGAUACACAAACAUAGAAAGGUACUUGAGGGUGUGAAGUGAGUUGUUUACCAACCAAUUAUCUAGGAAUGUCUUUGGGAUCAACGAACAAGUCGCAACUGGCAUCAGCUGAGAAUAGAUGUUUUAAGGAGGAAAUUUAUAUGGCACGGUAACAGAGAAAAGAAAGGUUUUCAUUUGGUUAAGUAGAAGACUCGCACCAUCAACAAUACAGAAGGGGGUUUAA